rnacentral:rRNA from 1 species
GGGGCCUACGGGAGGCAGCAGUGGGGAAUAUUGCACAAUGGGUGAAAGCCUGAUGCAGCGACGCCGCGUGAGCGAAGAAGUAUUUCGGUAUGUAAAGCUCUAUCAGCAGGGAAGAUAAUGACGGUACCUGACUAAGAAGCACCGGCUAAAUACGUG